AAAGGAAUAGACGGGGGCCCGCACAAGCAGUGGAGUAUGUGGUUUAAUUCGAAGCAACGCGAAGAACCUUACCAGGUCUUGACAUCCAACUAACGAAGCAGAGAUGCAUUAGGUGCCCUUCGGGGAAAGUUGAGACAGGUGGUGCAUGGUUGUCGUCAGCUCGUGUCGUGAGAUGUUGGGUUAAGUCCCGCAACGAGCGCAACCCUUAUGUUUAGUUGCUACGCAAGAGCACUCUAGACAGACUGCCGUUGACAAAACGGAGGAAGGUGGGGACGACGUCAAAUCAUCAUGCCCCUUAUGACCUGGGCUACACACGUACUACAAUGGUGGAAACAGAGGGAAGCUAAGCCGCGAGGCGGUGCAAAUCUCUAAAACCCAUCUCAGUUCAGAUUGCAGGCUGCAACUCGCCUGCAUGAAGUAGGAAUUGCUAGUAAUCGCGGAUCAGCAUGCCGCGGUGAAUACGUUCCCGGGCCUUGUACACACCGCCCGU
rnacentral:rRNA from 1 species